UUAGAGUUUUGGAUCAUGGCUCAGGACGAACGCUGGCGGCGUGCCUAAUACAUGCAAGUCGAGCGGACAGAAGGGAGCUUGCUCCCGGAUGUUAGCGGCGGACGGGUGAGUAACACGUGGGUAACCUGCCUGUAAGACUGGGAUAACUCCGGGAAACCGGAGCUAAUACCGGAUAGUUCCUUGAACCGCAUGGUUCAAGGAUGAAAGACGGUUUCGGCUGUCACUUACAGAUGGACCCGCGGCGCAUUAGCUAGUUGGUGAGGUAACGGCUCACCAAGGCGACGAUGCGUAGCCGACCUGAGAGGGUGAUCGGCCACACUGGGACUGAGACACGGCCCAGACUCCUACGGGAGGCAGCAGUAGGGAAUCUUCCGCAAUGGACGAAAGUCUGACGGAGCAACGCCGCGUGAGUGAUGAAAGGUUUUCGGAUCGUAAAAGCUCUGUUGUUAGGGAAGAACAAGUGCAAGAGUAACUGCUUGCACCUGACGUACCUACAGAAGCC
rnacentral:rRNA from 2 species